UAGCCAUCCAGAAGCUAAAUCCUUAAGCAAUGUUGACAAGAGGCUGAUGAAGAGGGGCCCAGGGGCUCCUUCAAAUAUGUGGAAGCCAGGACCUUUCUAACGGGAAGCAUCAGAGGUACCAAGAAUACGACUCUGUGUUACUGGUUAGGCUGAGAGAGACUACAGAAUUUGCUGCAGUUCACGGAGCCAUGGGUGGCUGAACCAGCAGUCAAGGCCAGACGAGACUGACUUUCCACUAGAAGGCACCACCUGUCCACAAAGACAAGCACACCUUCAUGCCUUCGGCUAGCUUCUGAUAGCAUCUUACAGUUCUGGAAAGGAAGUGCUUGAAAAAAUCACAAGGAUGGAGAAAUGUCAGCUGGACACAGGAGCUAACUGAAAGAAUUCCCAGGGGCCAAAGCUGGAGCCAUUUGAGUGCCCAAAUGUAUCAUAUAGUAUCAGGUUAUAAUCCAAAUUAUAAAAUAAAUGCUAAUGA